AACGAACGCUGGCGGUAUGUUUAACACAGGCAAGUCGAACGAGACCUUCGGGUCUAGUGGCGCACGGGUGCGUAACGCGUGGGAACCUGCCCUUAGGUUCGGAAUAAAUCCCCGAAAGGGGUGCUAAUACCGGAUAAUGUCUUCGGACCAAAGAUUUAUCGCCUUUGGAUGGGCCCGCGUUGGAUUAGCUAGUUGGUAGGGUAAAAGCCUACCAAGGCGACGAUCCAUAGCUGGUCUGAGAGGAUGAUCAGCCACACUGGGACUGAGACACGGCCCAGACUCCUACGGGAGGCAGCAGUGGGGAAUAUUGGACAAUGGGCGAAAGCCUGAUCCAGCAAUGCCGCGUGAGUGAUGCAGGCCUUAGGGUUGUAAAGCUCUUUUACCCGGGAUGAUAAUGACAGUACCGGGAGAAUAAGCUCCGGCUACCUCCGUG
rnacentral:rRNA from 1 species